rnacentral:rRNA from 1 species
CGGGACGGGGUGGAGUAAUGUCUGGGAAACUGCCUGAUGGAGGGGGGUAACUACUGGAAACGGUGGCUAAUACCGCAUAACGUCGCAAGACCAAAGAGGGGGACCUUCGGGCCUCUUGCCAUCGGAUGUGCCCAGAUGGGAUUAGCUAGUAGGUGGGGUAACGGCUCACCUAGGCGACGAUCCCUAGCUGGUCUGAGAGGAUGACCAGCCACACUGGAACUGAGACACGGUCCAG